UACGGAAGGCAGCAGUGGGGAAUAUUGCACAAUGGGCGCAAGCCUGAUGCAGCCAUGCCGCGUGUAUGAAGAAGGCCUUCGGGUUGUAAAGUACUUUCAGUCGUGAGGAGGUGUUAAGGUUAAUAACCUUAGCAAUUGACGUUAGCGACAGAAGAAGCACCGGCUAACUCCGUGCCAGCAGCCGCGGUAAUACGGAGGGUGCGAGCGUUAAUCGGAAUUACUGGGCGUAAAGGGCACGCAGGCGGUUAAUUAAGUUGGAUGUGAAAUCCCCGGGCUUAACCUGGGAAUGGCAUUCAAGCUGGUUAGCUAGAGUCUUGUAGAGGGGGUAGAAUUCCAUGUGUAGCGGUGAAAUGCGUAGAGAUGUGGAGGAAUACCGGUGGCGAAGGCGGCCCCUGGACAAAGGACUGACGCUCAUGUGCGAAAGCGUGGGGAGCAAACAGGGAUUAGAUACC
rnacentral:rRNA from 1 species